rnacentral:misc_RNA from 1 species
AACCUAGCACACCUGCGGUGUGUACCUGCGGAGGGAUCAUUACCGAGUUUACAAACUCCCAACCCUUUGUGAACCUUACCAUAUUGUUGCUUCGGCGGGACCGCCCCGGCGCCUUCGGGCCCGGAACCAGGCGCCCGCCGGAGGCCCCAAACUCUUAUGUCUUUAGUGGUUUUCUCCUCUGAGCGACACAUAAACAAAUAAAUAAAAACUUUUAACAACGGAUCUCAGAUCGGAAGAGCA